GCGGGGAGCAAAUAAUUGCCAGAGAUAAAAUGGGGCCAGAGGAUGGCUGAUGCUGCUGAUAGGAAAGGCCAGAGGAAGAUUAUAUAGUUGGAAACACUCGGAGACGCGUCCUCUGUGUAAUUAGAAAGAGGACCUAGCAUACAGACUGAUGGCAACCUGGCCCUGCUUAGCCUGUGAUAUCUGUCAGGAUCGCGGUGCUGGGAGGCGUGACUGACGUGCUGAUUCUUUCGGUAUUACCAUCGGGAAUCCCAGCACCCUGGAACAAGGGAGUAGGAGAUGUUAAACAGAUGGGAGACUUUGCAAAUACACCGUAACUGCCGGCGUGGGAAUAUCAAGCAGCCAUGCAGUGAGGAUUCUGUAUGAUAUUUUUCUGUAGCGUGGUUAAAUAUCCAGCUAUAUCUAAAUCUUCUCGAGCUAAUAUGUUAAGCCUCCUUCCUAACCCCCUAACGUACAGAAUGAGGACAGUGGAGAAGGAGCAAUUAAAGACAAGACAAAAAUGCCUACUUGUCAAAGAAAGGGUUCAAUACUUUGUUUCUUUGCUGAAGGGGAAAAAGAAAAGAAAAAAAAAACAAAUGGAUAUAAGCUCAGGUAGUAACUUUAAAUUAGCUUAGCUUGCUGAUGCCUUAAGACUGGGGAUUAGUGAAUUUAAUUAUGGGAGCCAGGAAACGCAUUAAGAUAACGUUGGGCCUUAAACUAAAACCCACAAAGCAAUGAAAUUAAAGUUGGUUUGUGUUCCAUCUUCAUAACGUCCCCUUCUUGCUGUGCAGCAGCACAGGAGGCCUCCCCACCCGGCUGGGUGCUCAGCGUCUGCCUCGGAGGACGGCUUGUGAGUGACCGAGCGCCCUGCAGGAGCCUUUUGCAGUCUGGGAACGGCCUGCUCUAGUGUCAGAGCUGUGUGUGAGCUAAAAUGUCUCAGGUAGGGUCGGUGUCGCCCUGUUCCUGUCCGGGUGCCCAUCUUGGCCGAGGUUCCACCCGAACCGUUCGCAUCAGGCUGGGCGGCUGCAGUGAGGAGCGUUGGGUGUAGGGGUGAGAUGCAGGCAGUUAUUGGCACAACACUGCUGCUGUCCUAGGAUGAAGCUGGGCUUGUUCCUGCUUUGUUUUCACCCUCCUGCUCUACCUCGUCUGCUGGUCAUUAUUCUUUGUAGCUGGGCUUUGUAUUUACUUUUCAUUUUUUAAGAAAAAAGAUAAAGAUUAAACCCCUUUAAGACGACUUUUAUGAGGAAUCCUAAUUCUUAGUCUGUUUGCUGACAAAUUAUAUAAUAUUGACCUUUCUCUUGCCUUCACUGGAUGUUGAUUUUUCUUCCAUUUCCUGGUGUGGAAGUUGCACACCCCUUACCUUGCGUUUUUAACUUAAAAGCGAUACAGUUUUAGGGGAACGUAAGAUUGCCUUGAAAAAGGAAACCAAUUUACUUGUCUUGGGUAAUGCCAUUCUUCCCUGUGCUUUCUGUUACUUAGUUUUUUUUUUUUUUUUGCUUGUUUUGUACUUACUUUUUUUUUUUUAUCUGAUAAAAAUGCCUUUAAAAGACUUCAGUCCAGAAGUACUGCUCCUAACCAGAGGAACUGGGAAAGUUACAUGUGUGAGUUCAGAAAGGUUUUGAGGAAUAGAAAAGGUUUGAGUCCCCUUUAAAGACUUAAAUCAAAGAUCUUGAGUACCAGAGCGAUCUGUGGCUGUGUUUAUCAGUGGGGGAAAUACCCGAGGUACAUACUGAACGGAAGCAUGAGUGCUGGCACCAGGCUCAGCAAAAGAGCAAACCUCGGCAGUUCCCAUUCGUCAUCUGCAUCAUCAGCCAUCAGUCCUUCAGCACGUCUGUGACGCUGUCCUGGUUCCUGCUGUUGCCCAAGAAGUAAGAGCCCCACGAAGCUGCUGCUGUGGAUUUGAAUCUUUGUACUCGAACUGCACGGCCUCCUGGGGGCCCUCCUGUCUGGGGAGUCACUGGCGCAUUCUGGGCAUCUCAAUUUCUGUAGGAAAGAAACAUACCUGAAUCCAUGACGGUUCCUUAUAUCCCUAGUAAAUCAGCAAUAUCUUAAAGAUGGCUCUGGAUACAUUAUAUUGAAUUAAAUUAAAAAUGUGGAGAAUAACAGACUGAAACUCAUGAAAAAUGCUGUUGCUUUCUGCAGGACGUGUUUGUUUUUAUGGCUUUCUUUGGUGGGUUGAGCAGCCCUCUUAUCCUUUCAGUAGUCUCAGCUUUAUGUCAGUUUAUAUAUUCCGUGUUUUAUGGAUCACUGGAAGAUAAUUCUGUUGUUUUCUAUUAGACCUUUAGUAAAUAAAAUGUCAGGGUUUUUUUCCGGUGCUGCAGAGGCCAGUAUCCAGCUGGUAUAUCAAUUCCUGUCAGUGCCUUGCCUUCUUGUUUGUUCCGGGGAUUCUCUUGUUUUCACAUUGGUUUAAAUCAUUAAUCCUGAUCGUAUUUUUCACAGAAUAAAAAUACUUGUUUCAAAAGCGUA